rnacentral:snRNA from 1 species
GGAUGUGAGGGCGAUCUGGCUGCGACAUCUGUCACCCCAUUGAUCACCAGGGUUGAUUCAGCUGAUCUGGCUGGGUAGGCAGAUGUCCCCCUCCUCCCUCACCGAUCCAUGUGCGUCCCUCCCGAAGCUGCGCGCUUGGUCGAAGAGGACGACCUUCCCCCCCGAAGAGAGGACCGGUCUUCGGUCAAGGGUAUACGAGUAGCUGCGCUCCCCUGCUAGAACCUCCAAACAAGCUCUCAAGCUUGACUUUAUGGCCACCCACUAGAUCCUUCCUGGGUAAUUAAUGGGCUGUGGGAGGUGCAGCAAGUGCUGCCAAAACAAAUGAAACUCA